rnacentral:rRNA from 1 species
GGUAACGGCCCACCAAGGCGAUGAUGCAUAGCCGACCUGAGAGGGUGACCGGCCACAUUGGGACUGAGACACGGCCCAAACUCCUACGGGAGGCAGCAGUAGGGAAUAUUGCACAAUGGGGGAAACCCUGAUGCAGCGACGCCGCGUGAGCGAAGAAGUAUUUCGGUAUGUAAAGCUCUAUCAGCAGGGAAGAAGAAAGACGGUACCUGACUAAGAAGCCCCGGCUAACUAC